rnacentral:rRNA from 1 species
UAGGGAAUAUUGGACAAUGGGUGAGAGCCUGAUCCAGCCAUGCCGCGUGCAGGAAGAAGGCGUUAUGCGUUGUAAACUGCUUUUUGCCAGGGGAUAAAAAGACCGUGCGCGGUUAAUUGAAGGUACCUGGUGAAUAAGCCACGGCUAACUACGUGCCAGCAGCCGCGGUAAUACGUAGGUGGCAAGCGUUGUCCGGAUUUAUUGGGUUUAAAGGGUGCGUAGGUGGCCCUGUAAGUCAGUGGUGAAAUAUCUCAGCUUAACUGAGAGGGUGCCAUUGAUACUGCAGGGCUUGAGUACAGAUGAGGUAGGCGGAAUUGACGGUGUAGCGGUGAAAUGCAUAGAUAUCGUCAAGGACACCGAUAGCGAAGGCAGCUUACCAAGCUGUAACUGACACUGAGGCACGAAAGCGUGGGGAGCAAACAGGAUUAGAUACCUAGUAGUCCCUGAGCGGGCUGGCAAGGCGCAU